rnacentral:rRNA from 1 species
GCAGUCGAGGGGUAGAAGUCUUCGGACUUUGAGACCGGCGCACGGGUGCGUAACGCGUAUGCAAUCUACCUUUUACAGAGGGAUAGCCCAGAGAAAUUUGGAUUAAUACCUCAUAGUAUAUAGACUCGGCAUCGAGAUUAUAUUAAAGUCACAACGGUAAAAGAUGAGCAUGCGUCCCAUUAGCUAGUUGGUAAGGUAACGGCUUACCAAGGCUACGAUGGGUAGGGGUCCUGAGAGGGAGAUCCCCCACACUGGUACUGAGACACGGACCAGACUCCUACGGGAGGCAGCAGUGAGGAAUAUUGGACAAUGGGCGCAAGCCUGAUCCAGCCAUGCCGCGUGCAGGAUGACGGUCCUAUGGAUUGUAAACUGCUUUUAUACGAGAAGAAACACUCCUUCGUGAAGGAAUUUGACGGUAUCGUAAGAAUAAGGAUCGGCUAACUCCGUGCCAGCAGCCGCGGUAAUACGGAGGAUCCAAGCGUUAUCCGGAAUCAUUGGGUUUAAAGGGUCCGUAGGCGGUUUGGUAAGUCAGUGGUGAAAGCCCAUCGCUCAACGGUGGAACGGCCAUUGAUACUGCCAGACUUGAAUUAUUAGGAAGUAACUAGAAUAUGUAGUGUAGCGGUGAAAUGCUUAGAGAUUACAUGGAAUACCAAUUGCGAAGGCAGGUUACUACUAAUGGAUUGACGCUGAUGGACGAAAGCGUGGGUAGCGAACAGGAUUAGAUACCCUGGUAGUCCACGCCGUAAACGAUGGAUACUAGCUGUUGGAAGCAAUUUCAGUGGCUAAGCGAAAGUGAUAAG